rnacentral:rRNA from 1 species
UACAGAGGGGGCAAGCGUUAUUCGGAAUUAUUGGGCGUAAAGGGCGCGUAGGCGGCUUUGCAAGUGACGGGUGAAAUCCCUCGGCUUAACCGGGGAACUGCGUCUGAUACUGGUUGGCUUGAAUCCGGGAGAGGGAUGUGGAAUUCCAGGUGUAGCGGUGAAAUGCGUAGAUAUCUGGAGGAACACCGGUGGCGAAGGCGGCAUCCUGGACCGGUAUUGACGCUGAGGAGCGAAAGCCAGGGGAGCAAACGGG